CUGGCGGUAUGCUUAACACAUGCAAGUCGAGCGAGAAAAUGACUUCGGUCAUGAGUACAGCGGCGGACGGGUGAGUAAUACAUGGAUAAUCUGCCUUUAGGACCGGGACAACCCAGGGAAACUUGAGCUAAUACCGGAUAAGACCACAGAAUCUUCGGAUUCAGCGGUAAAAGGUGGCUUCGGCUAUCACCUAUCGAUGAGUCCAUGUCCCAUCAGGUAGUUGGUGAGGUAACGGCCCACCAAGCCUAAGACGGGUAGCCGACCUUAGCGGGUGAUCGGCCACACGGGGACUGAGACACGGCCCCGACUCCUACGGGAGGCAGCAGUGGGGAAUAUUGGACAAUGGGCGCAAGCCUGAUCCAGCAAUACCGCGUGAGGGAUGAAGGCCUUCGGGUCGUAAACCUCUGUCAGUUGGAACGAUGGGUUUAAAGGUUAAUACCCCUUUAGACUUGACGGUACCUUCAAAGAAGCCCCGGCUAACUCCGUGCCAGCAGCCGCGGUAAUACGGAGGGGUUAGCGUUGAAGCCC
rnacentral:rRNA from 1 species